rnacentral:lncRNA from 1 species
GACUCAACAGAGCUAUGGCGGGUUUGACUGUGAGAGACCCAGCGGUGGAUCGUUCUCUACGUUCUGUGUUCGUGGGGAACAUUCCUUAUGAAGCUACUGAAGAGCAGUUGAAGGACAUCUUUUCUGAGGUUGGACCUGUUGUUAGUUUCAGAUUGGUAUACGAUAGAGAGACAGGAAAGCCAAAGGGUUAUGGCUUCUGUGAAUACCAAGACCAAGAGCCCAGUCUUUGGGUGGAAUGCAUGUCAAUGGCGCACCUCCUCUGAUGCAAGCUUCUAUGCAGGGUGGAGUUCCAGCACCAGGGCAAAUGCCAGCUGCUGUCACAGGACCUGGCCCUGGUUCCUUAGCUCCUGGAGGAGGAAUGCAGGCUCAGGUUGGAAUGCCAGGAAGUGGACCAGUGUCCAUGGAACGGGGGCAAGGAACCCUACAGCACUCGCCCGUGGGACCCGCCGGGCCUGCAUCAAUUGAGCGAGUUCAAGGGCAGAGAACAUGGAUGAUAUGGGCAUCUGUCCGAGGCUGUACUCCCUCCCUACUGGUGUCAGGAGGCUUGGAUGGAAUAGCAGUCUUGCCGAUGCAAGACCCCAGAGCAGCUAUGCAGCGGGGAUCCUUGCCUGCGAAUGUCCCAACCCCUCGAGGCUUGUUAGGAGAUGCUCCGAAUGAUCCACGGGGAGGCACUUUACUUUCUGUAACUGGAGAGGUAGAGCCUAGAGGUUACUUGGGACCACCUCAUCAGGGUCCACCCAUGCACCAUGUCCCUGGCCAUGAGAGCCGAGGACCACCCCCACAUGAACUGAGGGGAGGGCCAUUACCCGAGCCCAGACCUCUAAUGGCAGAACCAAGAGGACCCAUGCUAGAUCAGAGGGGUCCACCCUUGGAUGGCAGAGGUGGAAGGGAUCCCCGAGGAAUAGAUGCACGAGGGAUGGAGGCCCGAGCCAUGGAGGCAAGAGGGUUAGAUGCCAGAGGAUUAGAGGCCCUGCCUGGCCCCAGAGGACCUAUACCUAGUGGAAUGCAGGGUCCCAGUCCAAUUAACAUGGGGGCGGUUGUCCCCCAGGGAUCCAGACAGGUCCCAGUCAUGCAGGGAACAGGAAUGCAAGGAGCAAGUAUACAGGGUGGAAGCCAGCCUGGCGGCUUUAGUCCCGGGCAGAACCAAGUCACUCCACAGGAUCAUGAGAAGGUAAGCAACACUGUCUGACUGCCUCCUUAUGCACAAUUCUAGCCUUUUUGAUUCCUCUUUUCACAGUUACCAUGUGACGAUCCUGGGUCUUCAAAGUCCCUUUGGAGGUGAUGUUUAUUCUAACUUAGAACUCUUUUAUGAUCUUGUUACCUGAAAAUUUGUGAGUCUGGUCCUGAAGUUCCUAAUGGAUGUGAAGUUCUUAAGUGGAUGUAAAUGGCAGCUUAUUUUAUAUUUCACACUCAUCUGCCAAUAGCAGGUUUUUCUUGUUCAGGCCAGAUUGACCUGAAAAUCCACACCCUUUUUCCUUCCCUUUCUACUUUAUCCCUAAAAACAAUAGUAGAUUCCCCAUGAUUAUAUCUUUCUGUUUUUAUAUUUGACCAUUGUGGGGAGCUUAUGUCUGAUGGAAAGGCUAAAAUUUGUGAAAAAGAGAGACUUUCAAAACAGGAUUAAAACUUGAAGGAUUUCCAGGGCUCACAGAUACCAUCUUAGUCUCCAGGAACUUUGAGUUCAUGAAGUUGUCUGUUUUGAAUCGUCUAAUCUUAGGUAUUUUAAUUUAUACUUGUUCUUUUCAUUGUACCUUUUCUCACCAGUUUUUUUUUAUUUUUUAUUUUUUUUGGAGGGGGGCUGUUGGUUUUUUUCUGUGUGAAAUGUUCUUCCUUUUUCCAUUUUGCUUCAUAUCCCACUACAGUAGCUUUUUGGACAGAAGCUGGUGGUGGGUUUUUUGUUUUGUUUUGUAUUUUUUAGCUGCCAUCAUUAAAACUCACUACCUUUUUUUUUUCCUCUGCACAGGCUGCUUUGAUUAUGCAGGUUCUACAACUGACUGCAGACCAGAUUGCCAUGUUGCCUCCUGAGCAAAGGCAGAGUAUCCUGAUUUUAAAGGAACAAAUACAGAAAUCCACUGGAGCACCUUGAUAGGUUUUCAAAAAUACCUGGCAAGAAAUCUGGAAAUUCUAUAAUUUUGUUGAAAUAUUGAAAAAAGAUGACCUGCAUCCUAACCCUUGAAUGACUCAAAUCAGUGCCAGGUGGAGGACUCCCAUCACCUUCUCUCAGAACAAAAUCACUUCAUUUUAUUGUCUUAGUUUGUAUAUUUUCUGUGACUUGAAAUAAACUUUGAACACAAUUUUAGUACACUGC